rnacentral:lncRNA from 1 species
GAGAAGAGUUGAGUGAAGCCUGCAGAGAGGCCUCCUGGGAACAGAACAGUGCAUGGAGUCUCUCCACCCAGUCAUUCACUUCCUCCUCUACAUGCUCGCCUACUCCUGCGUCUACUCCUGUCUGUAUUUGUUGGUUUAUUUUAUUAGCAUCUUUACAGAGGAUUAGGCAACCCGCUGGACACAAGCCUCUUUGGGUACAGAAAACCCUACCCACUGCCCAUGUCCUUCGCACCGAUGGAUAGGCCAGCGCGCUUCACUGGCCGCUUCAGAGGCGUGAGGACGUCUGCAGUCUCUCAUCUUCCUUUAGUCGAGCUCUUCCCAACGUUGCUGAUUAGAACCCAGUGCUCUCCGGGAAGCACAGAAAUUGGAUCAAUCUGUAAAGCCAAACGGAGAUGAAGGGCGUUCGGUCUCUGGGAAUGAAUAUGUAACGCCUCUGCUCUCCAAAGACUCCUUUUGUGUAACUCAGCUUUCAACAGUCCGACAUCCAAAGAAGGCAGACAUACCACCCUGACA